AACGAACGCUGGCGGCAUGCCUAACACAUGCAAGUCGAACGAGACCUUCGGGUCUAGUGGCGCACGGGUGCGUAACGCGUGGGAACCUGCCCUUAGGUUCGGAAUAACUCUCCGAAAGGGGUGCUAAUACCGGAUAAUGUCUUCGGACCAAAGAUUUAUCGCCUUUGGAUGGGCCCGCGUUGGAUUAGCUAGUUGGUAGGGUAAAGGCCUACCAAGGCGACGAUCCAUAGCUGGUCUGAGAGGAUGAUCAGCCACACUGGGACUGAGACACGGCCCAGACUCCUACGGGAGGCAGCAGUGGGGAAUAUUGGACAAUGGGCGAAAGCCUGAUCCAGCAAUGCCGCGUGAGUGAUGAAGGCCUUAGGGUUGUAAAGCUCUUUUACCCGGGAUGAUAAUGACAGUACCGGGAGAAUAAGCUCCGGCUAACUCCGUG
rnacentral:rRNA from 1 species